rnacentral:snRNA from 1 species
GGAUGUGAGAGUGAUCUGGCUGCGACAUCUGUCACCCCAUUGAUCGCCAGGGUUGAUUCGGCUGAUCUGGCUGGCUAGGCGGGUGUCCCCUUCCUCCCUCACCACUCCAUGUGUGUCCCUCCCGAAGUUAUGAGCUCGGAAGAGGACGACCACCCCCGAUAGAAGAGGACCGUUUUCUUGGUCAAGGGUAUACAAGUAGCUGUGCUCCCCUGCUAGAACCUCCAAACAAGCUCUCAAGAAAAGUAGCAAAAAAACAAAAAAGUAGCCAUGGGGCCAAGGAUUUAGCUCAGUGGCACCGUGCCUGCCUCAGAAG